CAGCGUGGGCAGGGGCUCAUCAUGAUCGUCACCUGUGAAUGGUCUCAGCCGGAUUCAGCAGUUUUUAAUUUAAUAAUAGUAGGUACAUUUUGAGAGGACGAGGACAACAUGGGGACACAUGAGGCACUGCCGAACAGCUGAGGUGAAGCUCUGCAGGGUCCAUCUUCUGCUUUCAUGAUUGUCCCCAAGCCAGAGUGAUGGAGGAUGGAGAGAGAAUGUGGAUUGGUACUAAGGUGUCAUGUGACUGCCUCAGACUGAAUUGUAAAACAUUUUUGGACAGUUUCAUACACGGAGAUGAUGAAGAUGCUAAAGUCUACCAAGGAAGCCAAGGAGGAACCUAUCUAUUUUAGGUUGGAGGAGAGGAUCAGGAAAGAGCUGUUUGUACGAACGAUCUCCUAGUGGACCUCCGGAAGAAGAAAAGGAAGAGUGAGAUAAAGAGUGAAGGUCGGACAGCAGCAGCAGAACAGAGAAAAGAACACGCAAAGGCAGGAGAGCGCUGGACGAAGCCAGAUAUCUAAAAGGCAACGGGACCAGGAACCAGUACAGAUGAGGCUGAAUAACGAGGUAGCAGCCAGUUUGUGGAGUGACUCAGGGGCCAGGGCAAGGGAUUUGGUCUUUCUUUCAAGAGCACUGAGAAAACAUCAAACAUAAUCUAAAAUAAGCCAACCUCUGGUUUAAAGAGAUAACUGGAUCAGCUGUGUGGAAAACAAUCAGAGUCCUUACGACUCAGGGAGCCUGGGGUGGGAAUUCCUUAUAGAAUGCAUAUGGAUUCAUAUAUGUUUUUAUAUUUUAUAUCCAAGUCUCUACUCCACCUGGGAUCUUGCUCACAGCAACAGCUAAGGCUUAUCCUUGAGUAGAUAUGGAUAGCUAUUUGCUCCAACGCCGUUGAUUGAAAAUGUCCUUUGCCUGUUGCUUUUCUAUCACACAUUUGGCAUAAACUCAUUUCUACAGUAGUUACGGUUGUACAUUUUAGGUUAUUGUAAUGUUCUGGUCUGUCUUUCUCUUCUUGCGCAAAGUCUGUGCUGUCUCCUUUACUGUAAGUCAUUUAUCUCCAUGAUUCUCUAGGCUAUUCUUUUUUUAAAAUCUAUUUAUUUUAUUUAUAUAAGUACACUGGAGCUGUCUUCAGCCAUAUGAGAAGGCACUAGAUCCAUUACAGAUGGUUGUGAGCCACCAUGUGGUUGCUGAGAAUUGAACUC
rnacentral:lncRNA from 1 species